UACGAAGGGGGCUAGCGUUGCUCGGAAUUACUGGGCGUAAAGCGCACGUAGGCGGCUUCUUAAGUCGGUGGUGAAAUCCUGGAGCUCAACUCCAGAACUGCCUUCGAUACUGGGAAGCUCGAGUCCGGGAGAGGUGAGUGGAACUGCGAGUGUAGAGGUGAAAUUCGUAGAUAUUCGCAAGAACACCAGUGGCGAAGGCGGCUCACUGGCCCGAUACUGACGCUGAGGCACGAAAGCGUGGGGAGCAAACAGG
rnacentral:rRNA from 1 species